rnacentral:rRNA from 1 species
CCUACGGGAGGCAGCAGUGGGGAAUUUUGCGCAAUGCUCGUAAGAGUGACGCAGCGACGCCGCGUGAAUGACGAAGGCCUUCGGGUCGUAAAGUUCUUUCGACAGGGAAGAAAAUGCCUAUAAGUAACUGUGUAUGUAUUGACGGUACCUGUAUAAGCAGCCCCGGCUAACUCCGUGCCAGCAGCCGCGGUAAUACGGAGGGGGCGAGCGUUGUUCGGAGGGACUGGGCGUAAAGAGCACGUAAGCGGUGUUGUAAGUCAUUAGUCAAAGACUAGAGCUCAACUUUAGUAAGGCUAGUGAUACUAUAAUACUAGAGUAUCAGAGAGGAUUGCAGAAUUCCUGGUGUAGCGGUGAAAUGCGUAGAUAUCAGGAGGAAUACCGUUAGCGAAGGCGGCAAUCUGGCUGGAAACUGACGCUGAGGUGCGAAAGCGUGGGUAGCAAACAGGAUUAGAUACCCUUGUAGUC